CGGAGGCAGCGCGGGAGCGGCGGGGACUGCAGGACCCCGGAGGAAGCGGCGGACACGGCGGGCUCCCGCGGCCCGGCACUUCUCCCUCCGGCACUCCUCACCCGCGGCGCCCACCCCUACGGCGCCCGGGGUUCGCGGCCCCGCGGCCGAGCGCGGAACUGCCCUGGGCGCUUUCCCGGGCUUGUCACGGAGGAUCCCCGCGGGGAUCUCAGGGCUCGCGCGGGCGAUGCGCAGCGAAGAAAGGCAAGGAGCUGUGUUCGUGCCGGGUGCCGUGGCGCGCCAGGAGGCGGGGUGCGCUCGCCGCCCCCCACCCCCCAGGUCGGGGUGGGGAUGCUGGCAAUUGGGAACCCCCGCGGCGAGGUCCCGUCAUCUCCGCGGGGCCUGAGCGCAGAGCCCGGGGCUGCCGGCGCUUUGGCCUUGGAUGGAAAGUGGGGAAGGGCUCCGGACCCCUAACGUGGAUUACUUGGUGUGUGUCAGCCGGGCUCAGAAGACCCACGACCUCGUCUCCAUGCUUGGAUCGAUUCAUUCUACCUGUAGCGGUCGGGUCACUUACCUGGAGGUGAAAUCAGAGCUUUGAAGCUGACCUAGGGAGGUGCUCCGAGCCAAGAAAAGAAGGACAAGACAGAAGGCCCGGCAAGGGAAAGCGGCUAAGGACCGCUCUGUCUCGCUCGCCGUUCUCACCAGGAAGCUAGCGGGAGCCAAGCUCUACUAUCGCCACCUUGCAAAGGACCCGGCUAAGAUGGGACCAUCUCUUAAGAGGCAAGAGCUCUGGAUCUGAUUAAGAAUUCUUGCUUUGGAGAAUGAAGAAACUUGUGGAUUUGAGAAGACGUUGAAGGAGAAAGCAAAGACCCUUGCACCGAGGAGAGAAGUCUGUGUACGGCCCCGUGUGCGCCGGACGUGACCUCUGGCCGGACGAGUCAGCAUCAUCGCAGACCUUGCCGUUCCUCCUUGUGGAAAGCGUUUCCUCUGCCGCGGCUGCCUCUCCAUCUCCCCUGCCCCCAGUGCCCGGAAACCGAAAGGCUUUUCCACCACACCCUCGCCGCCCCCCCAGCUCCCGCGUCUGCUGUGCCUUUGGACUCGGCAAUUCGUGUUUGUUCCAUUAUCUUCCAGCCGGAUACAGAGUGAAUUGUUAACCACACUCAGGUCAAAUGGGAUUUUAAUUUUUGUUCCUGUUCCUUCUAAAGAAGCCGAUGUUUGUGUUGCUAUGUGAGCAGCACCGGCGUCGAAUGUCCUCUUGCUUCUUGGGGGAUCCGGGCCCUCGGAUUCCAGAGUGAUGCAGGUCAGGGCAGAAGUUCUUGGGGACCUCAGAGGUCGGGGGCCCUGGAGGGGGCUCCUGUAGGGGCGCUGGGGUCCUCCAUGUCCAGCUUUCUCUGCUUGGAUCCCACAUAGCUGUCUUCUGUUGACACAGACGCGCCACCAGCUGUGAAGACCCUUCUCUCAGAUGGCAGUCGGGGCCCGUGCCAGCGCCUGGUGCAGCAUCACAGGCCGUCUGACGACCAGAGCUGGUGUGUCUAUUGUCGACCCUCUUCGCCCCCGAGGACACUCCUGACGGCCGGUCGGGCCCCUCGAGACACGAGUCCUGUUUGCUCCUUCCCUCCAGAGCCGCCGUGCCCAUUCUAGAGUCUGAAAACCCUUCUAGAGUCAACCUUGUCUCGGUCGCAGGACCACCAACGUCCAUUUGUUCUCCUGCUAACGCAAACGGACGGCUUGCCUUUGUGGAAGGAAUUGAGGCCAUACACGGCGACCUUCUCCUCGUUGUAGUGAUGUGUUUCUGUGACCCCGGAGCGACGUCCCCGUCUGGUCACUGGAGCAGUGGCGUCCUUCCUGGCCUCUCAGAGUCCCCGCAGAAUGAGCAAGGACAGCCUCCUGAGGCCGUGUCCUGCUGUUGAACUAUAAGUCUUGUUUGUGGGCUUUGGUCUUCCUUGAGGUGCACACAGGUUCGUCUUCCCGGUUAGAGUCCUUGGGGUUUCAAGGAACAGAGACCCUCUUAGAUCACCCCCAUUCACGUGGGUUUAUUCCAAGCUGCUCUGGAAGUAAGGUAGACAGGACCAGUCCACCCAGCCACUGCACAGCGAGGCCUUUCUAGAAGCCUGAAGCCAUUUGAAACAUCCAUUCUCUAGAUGGUUUCUAGGAACAGCAAAACUCUUGAUGCCAUGUCAUUCUGAUCGGGUGCUCAGCAGUAGGGCGCACUGCUCCUGAUUCUAGAAUUCUCCACUGAUGAUGAGCUAAGAGUGCUAGCUGUCCCAGUUUGCCCCGGGCUGAGAGAUGUCUGGGGACACACGACUUCCACUGAUAAACUUGGGACAGUCCUGGGCAAACCAGAACAAUUGGCCACCCUCCUGGGUGGCUUGAUGACAUCGCGUCUGCUGUGUUAUCUGCCGUAGCUCGCUGAUGCUCUUAAGAGGCCUGGCCAGCUGCCAUCAGAGCCACAACGUCUGGCCACAUUGUUGACCACUGGGCAGCCUACAGAUGGAGGCCAUUGGCUCAAGCACCCAGUCCUGACCACGUCAGGUGUUUGCCGGGUGGUAGGGUGGCAUGAUACUGAAUUACAACCUGGGGACAAUGAACCAGCUGAGACCACGUCCUUCAGAAGAGGGGCUGUGGAUAGUGGAGACGGGAGCCACGCAGGGUAUCAGGGAUUCCUCGCCAACACAGUCCUACUCCAAAUAGGUGAAGCUCAUAACCUUCCUUGGUAAGGACAGAGCAGUUCAUUCGGAGACAAAAACUCCCACAGCCACUGGGGAACCAGACACGCCUGUCUCAGAGACAUGCACGGACCAUGGAGAAUGAGCCAAGAAGAAAACUCUGCAUCUUUGCUAGAGAGAGAGUAAGAGCUAAAAUUGUCGAGAUGGGUUUGUCUAGGGAGUGAAGGCGUUGGCUGGAGAACCUCCUGAAAUUCCUUUGAACUCUAGGAUUCUUUGAAAUAUUGAAGGGCGUGUCAGUGGGACCUAAGUGUGUGCUUUCCCUCCAAAGCUCACCUCCGAGUUCCACCCCGAUCAUGUCGAAUAGGACCUCCCAGCUCCCUCUUCCCUCUCCAGACACUGACCUUAUCUGGGAUAAGGGAGCGGAACUUGGUGGUCGUGGUCGUGGGCGGUGGAGAAGGACGGGAAGGUUGUACCUGCCCAACUUUUGGUGUUCUUGACAAGUAAGAACAAUCUAAAGGCAAAUUACAGGUUCUUUUCGGGUUAGUCAAAGCCAGGCUCUCGGGAUUGCAUGCCAUCCCGAAGCUGUUGCUUCUUGUUAGGGGAUCAGGCUUCCAUCUUUUCUGCUGAAAGACGGGCGUGAGCGUCUGCGGUGUUGGAACGCGAGCCUGCGGCUCGUCCUACGCCCCCUCCCCCCCCCCCCCCCGCACGCUGUGACCACACAGGGGGGUCAUUGCCUGCUAAGGUAGAGACGUGCAUGCAAACGUCGAGAAACCCGACUCAUUACCCCUGUGCGAAGAUUGAGAUCCCCCGUGCACCCGAGGCUUUGCCCCUGUUCUGACUCUGUGCCUUCGCUGCUGGUGGAGAAAGGCCAGCCCAGCACGUUAGGCACCGCUUUUCUUUUUAAAAAGAUGAACUCAUUUCAGACGUGCCCUUCCUUCAUGGCCCACGUACCGUCUUGGGUUCCAGAAGUCUCACUGUUGUGCCAAAGGCACCCGUCUCCUCUUCCUCUCUCAUCGUAUCUUCUCAUCCGCAGAGGACCCCAGAAUCCCAGAGUUCAAGGUGGUCUAAAAGCAUCACGUUUUUCUAGAUUUACCUCUGACUGAGGCAGGAAUCAUCUGAUGAGGGAUCGCCCAGGCCUGGGGGAGGCAGCGUUUUUGGCGGAGUGGGGGAGGGACGAGAGAGGUUGGGGGGGGUGGUGACAUUCUGCCCCAUAGGGGAAGCCGUGGGAUUGUGAAGAGCAGUUCGUGGGCUGCCUAGAGACCAUGAACGUCAACUUCCCAAUGAGAUUCUGAGGCAAGUGCACUGUCCCCACCCCCUACCCCAGCGUGGAUCGGUCUCUUACUUCUCAGUCCAGGGUGACUUCUGCUGAUAAAAAGCGCAGAGUGGGGAGAUGAGGAAAUCUGAGAUUUUGUCUCCGAAAGUCCCUCGUCUUCGUUCCUUCCCCGUAAUACGGAGGAGUCAGGCCACGUGAUCCCUGAAGCCUCUUGGGUCUCUGACUGCCGCAGCGCCGUCUUCGUUCCCUGAGCCCGUGACCUGAAGCUUUGCUGGGUUUUGCUCCAUGUGCGAAGAGUAAAUCAGGUGUUGCCCAAGGUAUGGAGGAAAGGCAUGUCAUCUGUGGGCUGAGGGCGCUCCUCUUACUCUCAUCCAUUACGAACGUAACCUCAAGUUAGGGCCCCGUCCCAGGAUUUUGCUCAGGCUUUCCUGUGAGAUCGCCCCGUCGCAUCAAAGCUUUACCCACAGGGACCUGUUAUCCUCUUCAAAGGGCCCCCCAAACCCCAGGGUUGAUGGAGAAAUAGAAGGUUCUAAUGGUGAAGUAUGGUCCUCUGCUCAGGGGAAUGUGGUUUACAGAGCAUAAGGGUGACCUUGGGAAUGGCCACUGAUCUUGGACAAGACCCUCAUGUGAGGCUGGUGGGAAGCAGGGCUGGGUCCCCUCGCCUAUGCUUCUGAGUAAGACCUUCCAUGAUCAGGCUGGCAAGAGCUCUGAACCCCGGCGUCUGGAAGUCUGUCUACUAGUCCUACCUUAACCUCAGCCCCAAGGCCCUUUCCUGUGGUCUCAGUCUUCUCAUCCACGAACUGGGAGAGGGAAGCAGAAGUGGGCGGUGCAGGUGAUCCUCUAGGAUCCCUCCCAUGUGUCAAGUUCUCAGCCCCGCCUGACCCCGCUGAGGCCUGCCUGUUCUCUGACAAGUAGCUCUUCUCCCUUUGCCUUCGGCGGCACAAGCCGAAAGCGGGGCUGUCCCGGGAAGUCCAUUACCAAAGAAUACUUCAAAGCUGUUUGCACUCGUCAGUCGCAAUGAACUUGAGUUUGUUGAGGGAGAAGGCAAAUAGACAUCUAGACUGAUGGCAGACACGGGGAAGGGGCUGCUCUCUGCCCGGGGUGACCGAGGGGGAAGGGAGCUGCCUGUCGUUCUGACCAAGGAGUAAAACCCGGGGGCUCUGCGUGGCUACAACUGGAGGGGAUUUAUGAGUUUGCUUAGGGAAAGGCAAAUAUUAAGUCUUAAGUUGACCCGUCCUGGGACCUGCCUCUUGGCUUUUGUAUGCCGUCCGGCACCGAUCACUGUGUACUUCGGGUUAUCCAGUUCUGUCAAAGGGUUUUGGUUGUGGGGUUUUGUUUUGUUUUCAUUGUUUCCCGUGUCCUUUCCCUUUCCUCCCUCCUUCGCCUGCCUCCCCUGCUGUGACUGCCGCUCAGGGCUGGGUUUUAAAGAGAUAGGGAAGGCAGAGCGUGGAAGACAUGUUGUCACGUUGUCCCAUUCCCAAAGCUGGCUGCAUUUGGGCUUCCGCUGGCUUCGGAAUGGCCCACCCGCCGGGGUGGAGGCUGGGGACCAGGUGGUCCUCGUGGGUCCCCCUCUGCCCUUGGCCCUGAACAUAAAUCUGGGCAUCGGAAAAAGAUAGGCAUCACCUGUUUAGCUGUAACCUUUCCUUCCUAUGUGACUGUUGGUGCUGAACAGUGGCUGGUGACCUCAGCCAGAUGUCCUGCGGGAUGAGCCGCUGAGGAUAGUGCCGGGAACGCUAACUGGGGUCUGACCAGGGCCGGUCACCAUCCAGGGAGCGAAAUGUCCUGACCAAAGGGGCUGGACAGGCACCUGGUCUCCCCAGUUUCCAAGUAUGAGCUUCAAUGAAGUUAAACUACAUGGAAUGUUUUUUUUUUUUAAAAAUUUCAAUUUAUUUUUUUUGACAGUCAGAGAGAGAGCGUGCAAGCAGGGGGAGAGGCAGGCAGAGGGAGAGGGAGAAGCAGGCUCUCCACCCAUCAGGGAGCCCGGUGCGGGCCUUGAUCCCAGGACCCUGGGAUCCUGACCUGAGCCGAAGGCAGCCGCUUAACCGACUGAGCCACCCAGGCAACCCUGUAUGGAACAUUCUUUACUCCUUGCUUCAAGCGUCCUCAGUACAAAGCCAAUCUGUCCUGAAGCACUGCAGUUCCUGGGGUCCUUGGACCUCAUGGGUGGGGCUUGCUAAUACCCACCACUAUGGGGUCCGGCCCACAAGGCAUCCUAAGUGCCUGGUGACCUUGGCAACGGUCCACAGAGGGUGCACCAUACGGGCCAGUUCAGGAUAUCAUGGCUCACCCACACUCCUCUUGUAGCCAAGAGUUGGGAAUGUUCUGGAAUCGCUUAAUUAAGAAAGUUCUUUUCACAUUCCAGUGGUGAUUUUUGAUUGAACUCAGCAUGAUUUUUAAUCCUCUGGCAAUUCUUCCUAUAUGUGUCUAUGUUUAAAAAGGUCAAUGCUGGGUACCCAGGCUACUGAAGUCCUACUAGUCCUUCAAGGCUCGGCUCCCAGUCUCUCUUCUCUGGGACGCCUUCCUGAAUUCCCUCUUUCCUCUUGACCAGGUACAUGUUCUUUUAAUGCAUCUGGCGUGGGAUGGGCACUCAAAAAAUGCUCGCCCCUCCUCCCUAGACCACAGCACUUUUCAUACGGCAUUCACUGUGCUUACACUGAACUUGUUUUCAGUACCCCCUUCUCCCCAGUCCUUCCUCCCCUUCUCCCUCUACCCUAUGGAAAGCAGGAUCCCUCCUCGUACAUGGAAGAUUAUUCCUGAGAUGCCCACCCGUGGUCAUGGUCACGUGACAGGCACCGUGAUUGACAUUUAAUUCUCAGAAAACAAAAUCACAUGGAUCAAUCACUUGGACCAAGUCUUACCUAGGAGGGUUGGGAUCGAAACCAAGGUCAUUAAGGGGCCUCGAGUUCAGAGCUCUUCAGUUGCAGCUUGGCAGUUUCAACAAGGGGGAUGGACAAGAGAGAUGUUGGGUUGACUUUCCCUGCUCAUGACCUGUGGCCGCGUGUCCUACCACAUUUGCCAGUUUCUUGUUUGCCCUUUAUUCACCAAUAAAGUGUUUUCUGAACAGUGGAGAAAAUGGGCUUGUGGCUGGAUGGAUUGCUUUCCCUGCAGAAGCCUUUCUUGAAAUAGCACGCGUCUGUUUUUAUGCUCAUUAUUUGAGAGCUGGGGUCAUUUUUAAGGUCGGAAGGAGAAAUUUAAACUCAGAAGUUUAGGUCAAAAUUUCUGAAGAACUUCACAGCAUCUAAUAGGGGAAACACAGAAGGGAAGAAAAGCCCACGUAGGAGAUGUUCCCUGCCUUCAGAAUCUUACGUACUGUCUUUGUUGCAUUUGCCAGAUCUGCUGUUUGUUAGGGUUCCUGGAGAAUCUGGAUGGAUGCUGCUUCCUGCCUUUCACCCCAGUACAAACUCUCCCACAUUGCAGGGGAUUCCGAGGAAGAGCCAAGUUCGGUCAGGCAUCUGUAGACUAGACUGAUCUUCCUCCUGUCGGACGUACGCAGGAGCCCCCUGGAGAUUCUGUCGAAGCCGGGAGCCCCAUCUGGCAGGUCCGGGGUGGGACCUGAGAACCUGCCUUUCUCACGAGCUCCCCGGUGAUGCUAAUGCUUCCGGGGCACGGACCGCCACCGGGAGCAGAAGAAAGAAAGGAGAGGACACGCUCUCCCUUGUUCUUCCCUUCUGUGCAGCCCCGUGGAAUCCUCUGGAGAACGGCAAACUCGAUCCCUGAGGGUCUCACCCCCAGAGAUUCCGGCUUAACAGAUUUAAAAGCUCCGCAGUCAGUUCUUACGAGCAACCAACUGACUUAGCGUCCUGAAGUGAAUCCGGCGAAUACUGAAUUUUAGGAAACGAGUUUUUGCGUGGAAAGAUGCCGAGGACCAUCAUCGCCAGGGGUACAGAUGCUUCUCCAACAGCAGCGGAAGACUCACAGCUGCGCCUGCCCGGGGAUGCCCCUUAAUUCCCCUCCAGAUGAGAACAAGGAGCAUCUACGGAGUGGCUAAUGCUUUAGCCGGUUCGGUUCCGUCCUCACUCUCACCCGGUGACACGGGCAUGAUGACUCGCUAAAGGUGGGACGUGGGGCUUGAGUAAGUGACUGGCCCAAGGUGACGCAGCCAGUAAGCCUCGGGCAAAGACCUGAACUAGGGCUGCCUGACUUCAAAGCCCGUAGUCUUCGGCCAUCGUAUCAUUCCAUGGUCUUCAUGAACUGUGCCAACGUGUAGGAAAACUGUAGCUUGUGGGCCAAAGCUGGCCAGCUGUCCAUUUUUAUAAAUAAAGUUUUUUUUUAAAAUGAUUUUGUUUUUAAGCGAUCUCUACACCCAACACGGGGCUUGAACUCACAGCCAUGAGAUGGAGAGUCGCACACUCUACCUACCGAGCCAGCCAGGUGCUCCUGUAAAUAAAGCUUUAUUGGGACGCAGUCACGCCCCUUAUUUCUGUGUGGUCUCUGCUUUCGUGGGACAGUGGCAGAGUUUGCGACAGGGAUCCCCCUGGCCCUGAAGCUGAAAAUAUUUCCUAUCUGGCCUUUCACACGCGAGGUCGGCUGACUUUUGACGGAUUGGCGAGGCAGCCAGGGCCCGGGUGCAGUCUUUGAUGGUACUUCCAAGCAAGAGCAAUAGCCCCGGAGAGGAUGAACCUGAACUUGUGAUCACGGCAGCUCAGGGUUCUGCUCAUGCUUUUUACUUCCACCUCGUGGCCUGCCUUUCGCUCGAAGGGUUACUUGCUUCCUCUCCCCAUAUUUUAUUUGGAUGCCAAAAUUUCUGAUCUGUUUUCUUAAGAGCAGGAGGUCUUGAUCCCAAAGCCGAGGCCAUCAUACAGCUCUCCGUGGAGUGGGGUGAGGGCGGCCAGCUGCUGGCCACCUGCCACUCCCACACCAUGGGGGGCCUCCGUGGAAAGGCUCUGAGCCCUGCUGCUCCUGGGAGGUGGCAGCAGCUAGAGGCUUCCGUCCCAUCCCGUCAACCAUCCCCGGAGAAACCCUACCCUACGGAGAGGUCAGGAGGGAAGAGGGAGGGGAGGAAAUACCCAUCAGUCCAUCAAAGUCCCGCCCUCCGGCGAGAGGCUUCUAGCCCGGGUGAGCAGGGCCUGAGGUCCCUUGGCCUGCCCCCAGGGGCCGAGGGCAGGGCAAAUCAGGGAAGUGCAUUUGGUAAUGAUUUUAGAUUUCCUGUUUGGUUUCUGUCCAGGGGGCUUUGGGAUAUGCUAACUUGCAGUUGUGUGUACACAGUGCACAUUAUGUUCCUCUUCUCCCGGGUUUCUGUGUUUUCCUCUUUGCUACCUUUUCUCCUCGAGGGCUGGUUUGCAUUUUUUUUUUCCUUUUUGUUAUUGUUAAAUUAUGUGAGGCAGAGCAGUGGGCCAGUUCCCAGCCUCCUUUGGGGGAAAUGUGUGGCGAAGGAGAGGGGAGAGGGAGGGAGAGGUUAGGAUACCCUGCCGGGAUUCCUGGGGAUUGGGUCUGCUGUCCUCCAGAUCCUGCGCCCCUUGGACAAGCGUGGUUGUAAGGCUUUAAAGAAUCUGUUUCUCAGGAUGCCUGGGUGGCUUCAUGGGUUAAGGGUCUGCCUUCCUGGGAUGGAGCCCCACAUCAGGCUCCCUGCUCAGCGGGGAGCCUGUUUCUCCCUUCGCCUGCUUGUGCUCCCUCUCUCUCUGACAAAUAAAUAAAUAAAUUCUUAAAAAAAAAUUAAAAAAGAGUCUAGGGGCGCCUGGGUGGCUCAGUGGGUUAAAGCCUCUGCCUUUGGCUCAGGUCAUGAUCCCAGGGUCCUGGGAUCGAGACCCGCAUUGGGCUCUCUGCUCAGCAGGGAGCCUGCUUCCCCCUCUCUCUCUGCCUGCCUCUCUGCCUUCUUGUAUCUCUGUCAAAUGAAUAAAUAAAAUCUUAAAAA